rnacentral:lncRNA from 1 species
UGGUGAGAGCUGUUGUUCUCCAACUUGGAGAGCAGCAGUUCGAACCCCCACAAUGCAUUGUGGGGGUCUUCCUUCCUCAAGUAAAUUUGAGUGAAGGCAGUCUGCUUCCUUACCCAAGUGUGAGGAGUAGACAUCCCUCGAAUAUUUGAGAGGGUUAAAAUCUGGGCAGCGCUCCAUUAAUAUUGAUGUAUGUUGGUCCCAGUUAUAGUCUGAUUUGUAAAUAUCAGUUAUAUUCUCAUGUAAUAUGAGUUGUAAUUUGAGCAAUAGUCUCAUGUAAUAAAAAAAAAAAAAAGA